rnacentral:rRNA from 1 species
AACGAACGCUGGCGGCAGGCUUAACACAUGCAAGUCGAACGCAUCCUUCGGGGUGAGUGGCAGACGGGUGAGUAACGCGUGGGAACGUGCCCUUCAGUUCGGGAUAACCCAGGGAAACUCGAGCUAAUACCGGAUAAGUCCGUAAGGAGAAAGAUUUAUCGCCGAAGGAGCGGCCCGCGUCCGAUUAGCUAGUUGGUGAGGUAAUGGCUCACCAAGGCUACGAUCGGUAGCUGGUCUGAGAGGAUGACCAGCCACACUGGGACUGAGACACGGCCCAGACUCCUACGGGAGGCAGCAGUGGGGAAUAUUGGACAAUGGGGGCAACCCUGAUCCAGCCAUGCCGCGUGGGUGAUGAAGGCCCUAGGGUUGUAAAGCCCUUUCGGCGGGGAAGAUAAUGACGGUACCCGCAGAAGAAGCCCCGGCUAACUUCGUGCCAGCCGCCGCCGUAAUAC